rnacentral:lncRNA from 13 species
CUGAACGUCGAGUGGAGCUAAUGACGGUUUCAUUUCUAUUUAUCCUCAGCCAUAGUGGAGCCUGAGGUCGAGUGGAGCUAAUGACGGUUUCAUUUCUAUUUAUCCUCAGCCAUAGUGGAGCCUGAACGUCGAGUGGAGCUAUUAUCCUCAGCCAUAGUGGAGCCUGAGGUCGAGUGGAGCUAUUAUCCUCAGCCAUAGUGGAGCCUGAGGUCGAGUGGAGCUAUUAUCCUCAGCCAUAGUGGAGCCUGAGGUCGAGUGGAGCUAUUAUCCUCAGCCAUAGUGGAGCCUGAGGUCAAGUGGAGCUAAUGACGGUUUCGCCUAUAUUACACCAUAGGUGCCUGGAAAUACGAU